CGGGUGAGUAACGCGUGAGGAACCUGCCUCAAAGAGGGGGACAACAGUUGGAAAUGACUGCUAAUACCGCAUAAGCCCACAGGUCGGCAUCGACCAGAGGGAAAAGGAGCAAUCCGCUUUGAGAUGGCCUCGCGUCCGAUUAGCUAGUUGGUGAGGUAAUGGCCCACCAAGGCAACGAUCGGUAGCCGGACUGAGAGGUUGAACGGCCACAUUGGGACUGAGACACGGCCCAG
rnacentral:rRNA from 1 species